rnacentral:misc_RNA from 1 species
GAAAUGCGAUACUUGGUGUGAAUUGCAGGACACAUGAACACCGACGUUUCGAACGCAAAUGGCGGUCUAAAGUAAAUUUUAGACCACGUCUGGCUGAGGGUCGGAUUUGAAAUAAAACCAAAGUUACUCAAACUAAUGGCUUACAGGAUUUUUAAAAAAAUCGAGUAGCCUGUUUGAUACGAAAGUUUCAUCGCUGGGUUAAAAUUUAGCUCAGUUAGAAUUCUGGUAGCGCUGAACAAGAAAGCUAACUUGAUGUUAUAAUAAAAUGUUAAAAGCGAUAAAUGUUUGCGCUAUUCAAAAAAUUUAUAAAAAACAAAUCAAACAUACGACCUCAGAGUAGGCGAGAUUACCCGCUAAAUUUAA